GCUUUUGUGGUGUAGUGGUUAGCACACUCGGCGCGUAUUCGAGAGGUCCGUGGUUCGAGUCCCGGCGAGGACA
rnacentral:tRNA from 1 species